UACGAAUGGAGCGAGCGUUGUUCGGAAUCACUGGGCGUAAAGCGUACGUAGGCGGUUAUGAAAGUCAGAAGUGAAAUCCUGGGGCUUAACCCCAGAAUUGCUUUUGAAACUCCAUAACUAGAGUCCCGGAGAGGUUAACGGAAUUCCGAGUGUAGAGGUGAAAUUCGCAGAUAUUCGGAGGAACACCAGUGGCGAAGGCGGUUAACUGGACGGGUACUGACGCUGAGGUACGAAAGCGUGGGGAGCAAACAGG
rnacentral:rRNA from 1 species